UUUGUAAAUGUUAGUGUGUAUGAGUGUGUUGCAUGUAUGCAUGUCUGUGUACCACACCCAUGAGAAGAAUAUUCUAGUGUGAGCUAUCAGGGAAGACUUUCUUGAAGAAUGAAAAAAGCCUCAUAAGUUGUAUGGUUGUCUAAAUGUCCCUGGUAGAUCUAGACUGGUGGAGAUGAAGAUAACCUAAAGAGACACUGUGUGCUUUUGUUUCUCUGUCAGACUGUUCAAACAAUGGGCUGGAAGAAAUUGCAGUUCCCCAAGACCCUCGUUCUGGAAGAAGAGAAAGAUUAAAGCCUGGACCAGCCAGAGAGGAAACUUAUCUCCUGGAAUUUAUAAACCACUGUGCAGAAGACAUUCCAAUCUUAAACUGUAACCUCGGGUCAGGACCCUGAAGAUAGACUUGAAAGAAGAGUCAUGUGCCUUUCAGCUUUGAAAUACCUCCUGGUUUCUUUGUGCUUCGUGGCUUUUACAGAGUGAAGCCACCACAGGAACAAACACUGGCUGCAACGUGUUGGUGUCAGGUUUUCACACAAGUGUGAUGUCAGCAGGGCAGCUGGAGGAGGUUCCAUGAAGCUUGGACCUAGCAGUUGAAAGAGACUUAGGUCACUGGAGAGUAAACACCCUAAAGAUCUGGACUGGCACUUUGCGGAUUUCCAUUUGACUUCGGUGGACUUUGAAGAUGGGUCACCACUCUCAUUCAGAUGAAAUUCUUUGGAGAGAACUUUAUUUUCAAAGUAAGGAUUUUCAUCAAAAUAAAAAUCUAUUCUGUAACCUGA
rnacentral:lncRNA from 1 species